CAAAAGUCAUAGCUGAAGUUGAGCAAAUGACCCAGAAACCCAAAGCCUGGAGAGAGUGUCGUCCACAUUAGAAAAGGAGUCCACUGAAGUUGCUGCUCUUCUGUCACAGGCCAAGAAAAUGGGCUUUAUUGUACAUAGAGAAAUCGGUGCCGACAAAACUACUCGCUACAAAUGGUUAAAAUCCUCGCUCUGAGAAAAAAUAGUAAGUGACUGAAGUAAAGGGUACUGCCACGCCCCAGCGCCAGGAUAACAAUGAUGAUUUUGCUCUGAUGUCUUCUUUCAUAUUAACGACAAGUGAUCAAUCUGUGUAUGUUGGACUUAAACGCAACAAAACUAUUAUAUUCAUUUGCUCUAAUAAGUCAUGCGCAACGUCAUAAAACGUUUAGAGCAAUGCAGCUCAUGCAAACGCGUCAGGAACUCACGCAGGUAACAUCUGAAACCAUACAAACCAUUCCCGUGAGUGAUGUACGCAUUCGCCAAGAAUAGUAGUGAACGAACACAAUUACAGGAAGAAAUUCAAUAUGCGGCAAUGGUAUAGUGGGAAUAUGUUCUCGUCGCUACUGUUCAGAAUAGCCCAAACAUGCAACAUUAGCAGAAACUAAAAAUUGAAAUUUGAAAUACAAUUUCUUCAGCGAUGGAUUAUUUAAACGCAAAUGAUUUCGCAAAAGGAUUUAUACUACUAAUUACACACUGACGUACACCUUUCAUGACUAUCAAAUAUUGUAGAUAUGGCGUAACAAAACUUCUGGGAAAAUAUGGUGCUUAACCCUACGCAACUUAUGUGCAAUUGUGAUUUUUUUCCGAAGCCAUUGAAAACUAAAAGUACUAACAUUUUUAUAGUAAAUAUAUACGAAAUAUUUUCGUACUAGCAAAGUAUAAAUUCGGAUUAUAGCAAUAAAAUAAAACAAAGGACUAACAGUCUUAUUCACAAACAUUUAAAAGAGCUCUAUAAACCGAAAAUAGGAUAAAAUGUUGUUUUUUGUAUUCACAAACACAUAAUAGCCUAUUUUACCCUUAAUAAACCAAUUUUAAAUUUGAAAAAGUUAUUAUUGGUUUUACCCUUGUUUAACACCAUUUUAAAAUGACAUUUCUCAAUUGCACGAGCAUAAACUACUUUAAAUAAAUGUGAAACGUUUGAUUAAA